rnacentral:rRNA from 1 species
CACGAAGCUUAACGAGCUAACUAUUAUAUGUGAUUUGACAAUGUAUGUGGCAUAAUAAUAAGGUUAAUAGUAGUUAGGGGUGACAGGCUUGUCAAGUUAAGUGAUAACUUGAUUUUUCUUUAAAAGUAUUAAGUACGUUGACAGAUCUAAAAUUACAAGGUUUUAGAUAAGGAUAAAAGGCUAUAAUUAGGUUGUUACUAGGUUUAGUCACUAGUGUAAUAGUAGUGGAAUAUUAAGUUAGCUAAAUUAUUAAUAGUAAGAAAUAGUAAGUAACUAUAUAAGUUAUUUAUAAUGUUAGUAUGAGUAUUUUAUAAGGUGAAAAUAAUGAACUCGGCAAAGUAUCUUUCAACUGUUUAUCAAAAACAUAGCCGGGUGAAAGUAUAGUCGGUUUUUUCUGCUCAAUGAACAUUAAAUAGCCGCAGUACCCUGACUGUGCAAAGGUAGCGUAAUCAAUUGGCUUUUAAUUGGAGUCCUGUAUGAAGAAUAUAUGAAGGAUAAUUGUGUCAUUUUUAUAAAGGUAAAUUACUUAUUAGGUGCAAAAACCUAUAAUUAAAUAAUAGACGAGAAGACCCUAGAAAUUUUAAGAAUGUGUUUGAGGAUUCUUUUUGUUGGGGCAACAUAGUAGCAAAUCUACAUAAUAGACAUGAAAUUGCUUAGUAUGAUUAAAUUACUCUAGGGAUAACAGCAUAAUUUGAUAGAGUUUGUGACCUCGAUGUUGGACUAGGAAAUUGAUGUCUAGAA